rfam:Macaca mulatta chromosome 1, whole genome shotgun sequence.
UGCCUGCUUCUGUGUGAUAUGUUUGAUAUUGGGUUGUUUAAUUAGGAACCAACUAAAUGUCAAACAUAUUCUUACAGCAGCUGGUG